rnacentral:lncRNA from 1 species
GCCCCGUCGCCUAGCAACAGCGCCCGCCUCGGCCUGCUUCUAAAGGAGGAUCAAGACAAGGCAGACGCGGCUACACGGAUCUCUUUCUUUGCAGUGCUAGUCUCUACAGUGAAACAUUCAUAACUGUUCAACAGAGUAGAAAGAUGCUACAUUAAAACCGUACCGGAAAACGCAGGGCCCCUGCCACAGCUGGAGAAGAGUUCGCCAGGAAGAAUGAGAAUUACACAGCCAGCUCAGAACUACGCCACUGGGAACACAGGAUGGAAGAAACAGGGCUGUCCUUUCCCCACAGCUCGGCCGUUGCUGGGCUCGGCCCACUCUGCACUCCCACCUGCUUGUUCAGCAUUGCUGCCUGUAGGCUCAGAGCUCUCAUCCACACCAGGACACGGUCAGGUCCCUCACAGCAACGGCAGCACGCUCAGAUCCCUGCUGCUGCACCUACUGAGCAUUACCUUUCACCUCCAUCUCCUCACAGCAGUGCAGAGGGAAGGACAGCCAGGUGGUGUCAGCGGGACGACGCCGUGACAGGAAAUACAGAUAGCAUAGGAGACUUGUGUGCUCCCCUGGAAGUACACGGUUUGGAUGGCAGACAGACUACAAACGGAGACACGUUCCAAACUCAUAGCAUUUCCCAGAGAAUUAAUUUACAAAGUGCCACUGGUCCUCGGAACCAAAUAGAGUGUACAGUAUAUUAAAGCAAACACAGCUCUGCAGCCCGUGUCGGCCCAUCUCUGCACAGCACGAAGGAAUCGAGUAUUCAGACUCUGCAAUAGACUCCUUCCCCUUUUAUACAAAGGAAAAUAAAACCAUAAUUUAAAACAGCAAUAAAUAAAAGGGACGGAGGCCCCGCUCAGCCCCCUUUGUGCAUUCCGAUCAGACUGGAGAGCUUCUCACAGUGCUCGAGUUUCAGUGACUCCGCCUUCUGCUUUAACCGCUCAUCUCGGUACAGCUUGGCCAAAUUUGACAAGUCAGACUUUUGCUGCUUCUCUUUCCAGCAGCUGGUCUGAAUAUAGUCUAUGUAAUCUUUUUCAACUGUUCUCUCUAGCUCUUGAAGUUCUGCUCCUUGAUAAUUCUUCUCAAAGUUUUUAUCAACAUAGUAAGGCACCUGCAAGUUCUCUGUUUCUCUGCUAAUAACGUGGCCUAUGGACGAUUUGUAGAACAGGCUGUAGGGUGGGUUAGUGGCCAUCAGCUGAGUUAUAACCGACACAAUUAUGAUGAUGAAAAUGGGCAUCAACUGAAUAAAUGCAGAAUAUGAGUUCUGUGGCCUGUUUUCUUCUUCCUCUUGCUCCUGUGUCCAUGCUCUUUCAUUUCGGUGCCUCCGUGGAUAAUAGUGUGCAUCUCUGGCUACAUUUGAGAACAUGUGGAUAUUUCCUGUUGGAAAGUGCCCACCAAAAAACACGUUGAAUAUUUCUUCUGGGGUAAUGUCUGCUUCGAAUUCUGUGUAGUAAUUAUAGUGCCUGGCUUGGCCGGUGCUGACAUGCUCGUGGUCACUUCCAUAUUCAUCGUAUCGCAAUCGUUUUUCGGGGUUGCUCAGAACUGCGAAAGCAUUGCCUAUUGCUUUGAAGGCCUCCGUGGCGCCGGGCGCGCGGUUCUUGUCGGGGUGGAACUUGAGGGCCAGGCGGCGGUAGGCCUUUUUCAGGUCCUCCUCGGUGGCAUCCCGCUCCACGCCCAGGAUCUCAUAGUAGUUCCGGCAGCUCUUUAUCCGCCGCACGCCGUCCAGCUGCUCCGCCGUGUAGGUCAUGGCGGGCCCGGGGCAGCCCGACCCCCUCACCGCUCACUGCCCGCCGCCCC